UCUGCGAAGCUUUUAAUGGCUCAAGAAGAGAGCUUAUCCCCACAUUACACGUACCCUUGUUAAUUACUACUCAGCUGCUCUGCUAUAAAUACUGCCUGCCCUUCUCACAGCCUUUCCUACCAUAAUCAUAUUCCACAACUCAGAAGCUAAGUUAAGCGCUUGAUAGCAUUUUCUGGGUAAAAGGGCUAGUCUAGCCUACCCUAGCUAGUAGAGCUAGCUUCUUCUUCUUCUUCUUCUUUACCUAGCUGAUCAUGGUGUUAAAGGCUAGUAUGGAAGAAUCUGUAAAGCUCAGGAGGGAUAGCGCCAUUUAUGCUUUGCUUUGAUUAUUAGCUUAAUCAUAUAUAUCGCUAUCCAUCCUGGGUUUCCUGGGUUCUUCUUACUUUGAUCUCUGUUGCUUGCUUUGUUUUUCCUCAACAAAGUUAGCUUUGCUAUUUAUUCUCUUUUUUUGUUGGUAAUUCUUUUAUUAUGUGCAGGAAGGUUCAUGUAGUACAUGCUCUAGUUUGCUAUUUGGUCUCAUCCAAAAGAAUCAGACCCAAAAUCUGUAUUGAAACAGUCCGAGUUUGACAAGCUAGUAUAGUUUUAUUGGGUCAGUUUUAUUCCCUCUUUGCCUCAUUUGCUUUCAAAUCAGGAAGCAAUCUGAAGCCGCAUCUUUUUCCUCAAGAGCCUUCUGGGUUUGUAAUUUGCAAAGGUCCCCAAAAGCCAGGGCUCCUCUUUCCAUUUUUAACCAACCCCCAUUUUCAGCUUCAUUCUUUCUCUCUAUUUAUUUCCAUGGUACUGUCAAAAGUUUGUGUACAAACAUGAGAAAUAAUGGGUAUUACUGAAGGAUCACAUGGAAUUGAGUUGGACCGGAGGAUGUUGACUAUACUUCCAAACCCAAGCUGGUGAAAAGUCAGGGUCGUCAGAUAAACUACCUAAAAUUUAGCUAAAGGGUUUUUGCACCUUUCUGAUAUUUUCUUUCCUCUUUCAGGUUGAAGCCAAGUAAUUAUGUUGGGUGUAUUAUCCAAGUGUUAGAGGCUUUUUCUACUUCGGCUUCAAUGAUUGCAGGUUGCUGCUAUAUUGGGAAUGAGUGAGAAUGAAGAUGAGCAGCUCUAACAUCAUCACUUGUGGCCAAUUAGCUUAGUAAUAGUGACAAAAACAAAAGCCAAUUAUGUGAAGUGUAAAAAUCAAGCUUUUGGUGUAGUUCCACAAAUCAGAAAAUGGGAUUAAUCAGCUGAUGCCUCGUCAUAAUUGCUUACCCAGCUGAGCUUGUAUUUGAUGAAUGAAUAUAUAUGAAACCAAAUCACUACAUAUACCUCAGGGUUCCUUGA